rnacentral:siRNA from 1 species
UGGUAACUACUACUCGGAUA